AUGGCUCCUCUUUCUAUUUCGAGAUCCCCGACUCGUCCAUCUUUCUCAACUAAAAAAAAACUCUUGGAUCGACCAAACCCUAGAGAGAGAGAGAGAGAGAGAGAGAGAGAGAGAGAGAGAGAGUCCUCUUCCAUGGCCGGCGGCGAUUCUUCUCCCGUGGCGGCGGCUGCUGCGGCGAGAAAGUGGGAGUGGGACCAAGAAGAGUAUCGGUGCGAGUCGCCGGAGGAUUCAUUGGACCCGCGAUACAGCGAGUACGACCCCAAGCAGGGUCGUUUCAUAUACGUCCGCUACUUCUUCAACGGCAAACUCGACCUGGACGAGGAGUCACCUGUUGGUCCCAUGCGACAUACUGGUAAAAUCUUCAAAGAGGGAUUCCGGCUCAAAAAUUCAGUCAAUGUUGUUUCCAUCAAGAUUGUUUCCUCUGACUAUGGCUACCCACUCUAUGUCUACGGUACCAUCAUAGCCAGGGACAGUCUGGAUCGAAAAUGUGUCUAUAUAUUCCGGCGCGACCAGGAUGAUUGCCAGCUCAUCACCUCAAAGGAUGAUUCAUUGAUUUUGACUGGACCCAAGAGAGGAUUCAUGGUAUGUGAUGAUAUAUUCUUCGAAAUCAAUCUGAAGGUGAAGGAUGUGCAUGGGAUGACUGUCGAUGAUGAUAGACUCAGUAAAGGCCUGAUGGAGGUGGAUGCUAUCCGCAGGCUGGAAUAUAGUCCCAGAUAUGUGGUUGAUACGGAAACACUUGUCAGCAUGCACAGCAUAUUGGAUUUAAACUAUACAUUCAUUAGGAGGUCGGUGGAGGGCACUGUUGAGAUCAAGAUCCUUGAGGGACCUGAUGAAUUCCAUGGGAAGAUUGUCGCUUCCACUACCAGCAUUCCAUGCGACAUUGUGCUACAUGAUAGCAAAGUGAGUGGUGCGCUAACUGCAGGUGACAGUGGAGUCCUACAAACGGCACGGCGCGUAGUAGGAGUCUCUGUGGAUGAGUUGCUGGUGUUGACUGUGGCUGCUACUGUCGGUGAUGAUGAGUUAUCUGCCCGCACUGUUCAGUUUACUCCAAGGCGCAAUGGUUACGAUGAUGAGAAUAUCACCUGCGGGGACUACAAGAUGCUUCUGAAGGUCACUUGGUCGAUUGUGUAUUUCUGA
rnacentral:rRNA from 1 species